AUGUCCUGGCUGAAUCAGAGUACAUUGCCUAAGGAAAUAAAAUGGGCAAAAGGAGGAGCGUACAAUAAGCAAAAGUGCAGAACAGCAUUCUUAAUUAAAUUUAACCCUGGCAGAAUACUAGGUUAUCCAGUGCAAAAUGGUUGCCUUUUAAAGUAUGGAACACAAAGAAUCAUCAUUAGCCGUCAAUGCAAAUCAGCUUCUCUCCAUAGAGAAGAGAAGACAUCUUGGUCUCUUGGAUGCAUGAAGCACACCGUAUAUGCUAAUCUGAUCAGAGCAUUUUCUUUUCAAUUUAAUCGCGCAAUGCCAACAUUCCCACCCAUAGAUGUUUUGUUUGUGUACGAAUAG
rnacentral:rRNA from 1 species